rnacentral:sRNA from 1 species
UGGGAAUGGUCUAUGCUCUUUUCAUUAUGUAAAUUCUAACGUUUGUUUUGUUCAGUAUUGGUAAAGGUUUUCAAGGUGUCAUGAAAAGAUGGGGAUUUAAAGGCCAGCCUGCUACGCAUGGUCAAACGAAAACCCACAGGAGACCUGGAGCUGUUGCAACUGGAUAUUGGCAGAGUCUGGCCUGGAACUAAAAUGCCUGGAAAAAUGGGAAACAUAUACAGGACAGAAUAUGGACUGAAAGUGUGGAGAAUAAACACAAAGCACAACAUAAUCUAUGUAAAUGGCUCUGUACCUGGACAUAAAAAUUGCUUAGUAAAGGUCAGAGAUUCUAAACUGCCUGCAUAUAAGGAUCUCGGUAAAAAUCUACCAUUCCCUACAUAUUUUCCUGAUGGAGAUGAAGAGGAACUGCCAGAAGAUUUGUAUGAUGAAAACGUGUGUCAGCCCGGUGCGCCUUCUAUUACAUUUGCCUAACAUCUUUGGACGUGGCAGAACCUUACAUAUUCUGUGAGCUUCGAUGAGCCAGAGUGAUAUCAUAACCACCAGAAAUCAUACUCUCCUUUCUUAGUCACAACAAAAUCACACAUGUCAUCUUUGUCAAGGGCAUAAAUAUAUCAUUCAUACCUCCAUUAAAUUUUGUUAG